ACGGGAGGCAGCAGUGGGGAAUAUUGCACAAUGGGGGAAACCCUGAUGCAGCGACGCCGCGUGAAGGAAGAAGUAUCUCGGUAUGUAAACUUCUAUCAGCAGGGAAGAAAGUGACGGUACCUGACUAAGAAGCCCCGGCUAAUUACGUGCCAGCAGCCGCGGUAAUACGUAAGGGGCAAGCGUUAUCCGGAUUUACUGGGUGUAAAGGGAGCGUAGACGGCAGAGCAAGUCUGAUGUGAAAGGCAGGGGCUCAACCCCUGGACUGCAUUGGAAACUGUUCGGCUUGAGUGCCGGAGAGGUAAGCGGAAUUCCUAGUGUAGCGGUGAAAUGCGUAGAUAUUAGGAGGAACACCAGUGGCGAAGGCGGCUUACUGGACGGCAACUGACGUUGAGGCUCGAAAGCGUGGGGAGCAAACAGGAUUAGAUACCCUGGUA
rnacentral:rRNA from 1 species